CACGUAGGCACCAAGCGUUGUCCGGAUUUACUGGGCGUAAAGGGCGCGUAGGCGGUCAGCACAAGUCAGUUGUGAAAUCUCCGGGCUUAACUCGGAAAGGUCAACUGAUACUGUGCGACUAGAGUGCAGAAGGGGCAACUGGAAUUCUCGGUGUAGCGGUGAAAUGCGUAGAUAUCGAGAGGAACACCUGCGGCGAAGGCGGGUUGCUGGGCUGACACUGACGCUGAUGCGCGAAAGCCAGGGGAGCGAACGGG
rnacentral:rRNA from 1 species